UGGGGAAUAUUGGACAAUGGGGGCAACCCUGAUCCAGCAAUGCCGCGUGUGUGAAGAAGGUCUUCGGAUUGUAAAGCACUUUCGACGGGGACGAUGAUGACGGUACCCGUAGAAGAAGCCCCGGCUAACUUCGUGCCAGCAGCCGCGGUAAUACGAAGGGGGCUAGCGUUGCUCGGAAUGACUGGGCGUAAAGGGCGUGUAGGCGGUUUACACAGUCAGAUGUGAAAUCCCCGGGCUUAACCUGGGAGCUGCAUUUGAUACGUGUAGACUAGAGUGUGAGAGAGGGUUGUGGAAUUCCCAGUGUAGAGGUGAAAUUCGUAGAUAUUGGGAAGAACACCGGUGGCGAAGGCGGCAACCUGGCUCAUGACUGACGCUGAGGCGCGAAAGCGUGGGGAGCAAACAGGAUUAGAUACCCUGGUAGUCCACGCUGUAAACGAUGUGUGCUAGAUGUUGGGUAACUUUGUUAUUCAGUGUCGCAGUUAACGCGUUAAGCACACCGCCUGGGGA
rnacentral:rRNA from 1 species